CUCAAUCAAUCAAACAAGAAGAAAAAAAAAGAGCUCUCUCAGCUCGGCGGCGAGAGAGACACUGCCACUCCCCUUCCUCCCUCCGCUCCCUCCCUCGCUCACUCGCUCCUCACCCCCGCCGCCGCAGCCCCCCUCCCCUCUCCCCCGACGCCCGCCCGCACGUCGGCGAGCUCUCCCUCACCUCAGGCGCGCGCGCCACAGCCGCGGGGCUCGGAUCUCGCCCCGUCCCGCCGCGGCAGAAGACCAGCCCGCCGGAUUCGCUCCUCCGCCCGAUUCGCCGCCGCCCGGCGCGCCUCACCACUUCCCCCCGGCCUCGACUCGCCGGGAAUCCCGCAUUCGGCCAGAUGGACGCGGAGGAGGCGCUGGGCUUCCGGGAGGACGACGCCAUCCGCUUCAUCUUCGGCGAGGACGUGGCCUCCAGGGCGGACGACGACUGCCCCGACUCCGCCGCCAGUGCCUUCGACAGGUCGCUCAUGGAGCUCCGCCUCUUCCAGGAGGUCUUCGCCAGGGCGCCGGGGCACAAGGAGGCCGCCGGGCUCGCGGGGAGGCAUUUCGGGGUGGCGGAGACGUCGCUGCUUCCCGGCGCCCACUUCGCCGCGCAGCGGCCCGCGGAUGCGCCCCGGGCCCAGCCGCGCCUCAACCUCAAGGUCCAGCCGCCUCCGCCGUUCCGCGGCGAGCACAUUGUGUCUGCCCCGGUGCAUGCCGGAGCGGGCCUUAGCCUGGAGGCGCGUCCACAUGCUCACCAGCAGCAGAACAAUGUUACAAUAGAGGGCAAAGUGGAUCUCGGUGUCAGCAAGGGGCAUGCACAUUGUUACGGUGAACAACAUGAGAUUGCUGUCCAGGAGCAUGCACACUGUUACAAUGGCCACCAGGAGGAGCACGCACAUCGUCAUGUCGAGCAGAAUGGGGGGAUCGAUGGGUUGGCUCUCGAGCUGGAUGCCGUGCUGCAGGGCUUCUUGGGGUACUGGCCAGGUGGAGCCACGGCCGGGAGCUGUGACCAGCAGCAAGUGUUUGGUGCAGCUGCUGUCGGUAUCGGUAACACCGUUGACAUGCGCAUGCAAGCGAUGGCUGAAGACAACAACAUUGCUGCUGGGACGUGUGAGGCAGUCGGGUUUGCUGGCAGCAGCAGCACGAGCGGGGUCGAUGAUCCCAUGCCGUCCUACAUGGACGCGCUGGCAGAGUUCUCACAGUUCCAGGCUGACCCUUCUCUUGCUGACCCGUUUUUGUAUCAGUGGCUACAAGAUCAGCAGCCGUUCCCGAGCGAUGCCUCGUGCUUGAGUUAUGAUCAAGGACAAAUCGUUGACAAUGGCCAAGCGCUGUACACAUGUAGCCCGGCUGAUUUAUCUGACAGAGGUGCCAAAGAAUACCCACACUUCAGCAAGCCAGCCUAUGAUGCCGCAGUGCCACCUCGCCUCUCCCAUGAUUAUGUUGGAUCUGGGCAGUUUCUUGAACUUGAGCAACAUCUUGAGAAGGGUACGCCUGAUGCAAAUACUAGUUCGCUAGAUGAUGUUGAUGUUCCUCAGUCCAGCAGUCUACAGUCUAUACCACCUGUUGCUUGUACCAAGAGGACUUUAGGCAGGGAUCUUCCCGAUCAGUUGGAAGCGCAUGCGCAAUGCCUUUUCAAGGAUGCUGGCUGGACCAUCAAGCCACGGAAAAGGAAUGACAGGGCUAAGAUGGCAUCCUAUUUCACAGCACCACACAGGGAAGUGGUCCUCAGCUCACUAACUCAGGCCUGGAAGUUUUGUGGGAACAAAUUAUAUGAAGCUUCUCCCGGUUCACAGAGGGGUAAGCAUCCGAUGGAGUGGUCAGAUGUUGAUAAGUUUUGGAAGGACCUCACUGAUACUAUGGAGUAUAUCCAAAAGGUACUUGUGAACCAACAAAACGCACUCACACUUCUUGAACGGUGGGAGCUUUUGGAUCCUUUCAUUGCCGUCGUGUUCAUCGGUAGGAAAAUUACUGCUCUGCAACAAGGUAGUACUGUCAGAGCUGUUGAUAGUUCAAUCAUUGUUCUCGACGACAACAAGAAUAUGCCCUCAGAGAGUAAAAGGAAACAGAAAGCCAGUGACCCUUUAACCGCCCGCAAGGUUCAGUCUACUCCUGUGAUCAUGGGAUCUGAUUGUGGAGAACGAGUGGUUGAGAGCUGCAGCAGGAGCCAGGCUGUACCAAGCUGUCAUGUUUUGGAAGGUGGCCAGAACAGGGAUAUUAACCUGAAAAAUGGCUACACACAAGGCCAGAACAGGGCAAUUGACCGAAAUGAGAAUCACAUUGAUCAAAGUACUGAAACCCAGCAAUUUUACUCAGGAGCAGCGCUCAUCAAUAAUUCGGUGAAAAAAGCAAGGAAGAAGCCCAAAAUGAUACCGGAUGUUGAUGCAAAUGGAUUAGAUGGGUUGUAUGCUCAAAUAUUUAUGCAGCACACUAUGGGGAAUGUAUUUAACCAAGAGAGCAACGUGGCGAUGCUUGACUUUUCUAAUCCAGGAAACAUUAACGUCUCUGGAAAACAUGGUAUUUAUUCGUCUGUUGGCACAGUGAAGAAGGAUUUGAAAGCUGAAUCCAGACCGGCAAAGCUAAAUCGGAACAGCCAAACCGACAAACCUGGCAUGCUGUUGCCUCCAGAGAGCAAGCAAAUGAGCAUGCUAAUGCGUGAGGGUACUGUUAAAGAACCUUUGGAGCAUACAACCUCAGGACCUGAUUCUGAUGCAAGGGAGUCAGGUGCCAAGGAAACCGCCCCUAUAGAAUGGGUCCAGAAGAAGUUACCUUCAGAGAGCAACCAAAUGAUUAUGUUAAGAGGUGAGGGUACUGUUAAAGACCCUACAGAGCAUACAAUCUCUGAACCUUAUUCUAAUGCAAGGGAGUCAGGUGCCAAUGAGAUCGCCCCUGUAGAAAUGGUCCAGAAGAAGUUGCCUUCAGGGAGCAACCAGAUGAGUAUGUUAAGAGGUGAGGGUAUUGUUAAAGAACCUAUGGUUCAUAUAAUCUCUGAACCUGAUUCUAGUGCAAGGGAGUCAGGUGCCAAUGAAACUGUACCUACAGAAAUGGUCCAGAAGUUGCCUUCAGAGAGCAACCAGAUGAGUAUGUUAAGAGGUGAGGGUACUGUUAAAGAACCUACGGCGCAUACAAUCUCUGAACCUGCUUCUAGUGCAAGGAAGUCAGGUGCCAAGGAAACUGUUCCUAUAGAAAUGGUCCAGAAGAAGUUGCCUUCAGAGAGCAAGCAGAGUAUGUUAAGAGGUGAGGGUACUGCUAUGGAACAUAAACGACUUAAAAGCGCUGAACCUGAUUCGAAUGCAAGGGAGUCAGGUGCCAAUGAGAUCGCCCCUGUAGAAGUGGUCUACCAGAAGUUGCCUUCAGGGAGCAAGAAGAGCAUGUUAAGAGGUGAGGGUACUGUUAAAGAACCUACAGAGCAUACAAUCUCAAAAUCUGAUUUUAAUGCAAGGGAGUUGAGUGCCAAUGGGAUUGUCCCUUCAGAAAUGGUCCACAAGAAGUUGCCGUCAUUGAAGGAAUCAUCUCCUAGAACUCCCCCCAAGGACCCCCCUAAGGUUUCAGUCGACAAUGCUGUUCCUGUUGAGUUAUCCCUUGAGUCUAAUGCUGCUCCCCUGAAAACUGAUUUAUCUCGUGACUCACAAAUCUGCAAGACGAUCGCUGCUAAAAGGAAACCUCAAGGUUGUGAUAAACAUAUCAAGAAAAGACCUCUUGAGUUGCGUAUCCACGACGAUGACCUUUUGAUCACAGCUAUUGUAAAAAACAGGGACGUUGACUCCUACAACAAAUUUGCUGCAAGCUCAGAUUUUUCGGUUGCAAAGUACAAAAAGCUUAAAGGCCAAAAGAGAGCUACCAAACUGCUUGGAAAAGGGGGGACAAACCUAUUGGGUGGGAAGAGAAUAAGUUUGGCACGGAAAACUGUGCUCUGCUGGUUGAUUGCAACUGGCUUUCUGACCGUAAAAGAUGUUAUUCAGUAUCGAAAUCUGAAGAGCAAUGAAGUUGUUAAGGAUGGGCAGGUCACCUGGGAAGGCAUUCUUUGCAAAUGUUGCGCAAAAACCUUAUCUGUAUCAGACUUUAAGGCUCAUGCUGGUUGCUGUCUGCCCAAGUCCUCAUUAGGCCUCUUUCUGCAGUCUGGCAAGUCGUAUACUCUAUGCCAGUUGGAGGCUUGGUCUGCCGAAUUGAUGAGCAGGAGAAGUGAUGCAUGUGGUAGGAAAGUCGAGGCGAUGGAUGAAAAUGACGAUACAUGUGGUUUCUGUGGAGAUGGCGGUGAAUUACUUUGCUGUGACAAUUGCCCAUCAACAUAUCAUGAAGCUUGCUUGUCUGCCCAGGAGCUUCCAGAAGGCAGUUGGUACUGCCAUAAUUGCUCAUGCCGGAAAUGUGGGACUCCAGUUAGUGAAAAUGAGGUUCCGUCAUCCUCAGAUAUCUUGAAAUGUCUGCAGUGUGGAGAUGCAUACCAUGGCACGUGCAUUAAUCAUGAGAUGCUGCCCUGUGAUGAUAAAAGAUCUAACACAUGGUUUUGUGGGAGAUACUGUAAGGAGAUAUUCCUUGGACUACAUAGUCAUGUUGGGAUAGAGAAUAUUAUUGACAAUGGGCUUUCAUGGACCAUAUUGAAGUGCUGCAGUGAUGGUCGGAGGCUACAUUCUGCCCGGAAGAUAGCCCAUAUGACAGAAUGUAAUACAAAAUUGGCAGUGGCUCUUACUUUACUGGAGGAAUGUUUCAUUCGUAUGGUUGAUCCUCGAACUGGUGUAGACAUGAUACCACAUGUGUUGUACAAUAAGGGAUCAAACUUCGCGCGCUUAGAUUAUCAGGGAUUCUACACUGUAAUCCUGGAGAAGGGUGAUGAGAUUCUAUGUGUGGCAUCUAUCAGGUUACAUGGGACCAAAGCAGCCGAGCUGCCUUUCAUUGCUACUUGUGUGGAUUAUCGCCGUAAAGGGAUGUGCCGAAGGCUGCUGGAUAUCAUUGAAAAGAUGCUGAGAUCGUUCCACGUUGAGAUGUUGGUCCUUUCUGCCAUCCCAGAGUUGGUUAAUACAUGGGUCUCGGGAUUUGGUUUCAAACCUAUCAAGGAUGAUGAGAGGAAACAACUUCGUAACGUUAAUUUGAUGUUAUUUCCUGGGACAUCCCUGCUAACCAAAAGAUUGGAUGGAAAUAUAACUACAAAACCAGAAAAGGAAGAAGGCACACAUAAUGUUUCUGGAUUAACUAACGGGAAAUGUUUGCCUGACGGGAAAGCAAAUGAGCAUCUUGAACUCCGUGACCUUGAACUGCCAGAGGAGUUGAAUAAUGAGGUUGCAAUGAAUGGUUCUUUGAGAACACUAAAACGUGAAUUUAGUCCCGCAGCAUGGUUCAAUUCCACUAAGCUAGCUGUUGGUGAAGUGUGACUUUCUCACAAUAUAAGACAUCUGGACUCUAUCCUUGGUGGUCGAUCAGCGCUAGCCAACUUUGUCUUGCUGAUCUAUGGCUAAAUAAUUAUGUUGAAGCUUGCUGCUGUGGUCAUGCAACUAUUUCCAGUCCCAAUGCUGUGCCGUGGAUGUUCAUGCACACAAUAACCAGGUAGCAGCAUUUUCCAAAGAAGGCGUCAUCAGGGCUUGUUAGUGAAUCAGAGGACAUAGUCAUCCAAGAAAGUUUCUUGAACUGGUCAGAAAACAGUAUAGCAUCUAAAAGAACCCCAAGAAACCACGGCAAGCAAAGCCGAGUUUUGCUCUCCUGAAACAACCGCUUCCUGCCAUAGAGCGCCAGACACAUCUGUGAGGUAAACUGGGCAUUUGAAGCACAAGAAAAGAUGUGGACAGGAUAGGAUUGUAAUGCAUCAAGACCCUCAAGCCCUCGCUGACAGGAAGUUCUUUCAUUGGCACAAAAGGGUACCAUAGAUGGAAACAGAAUAUACAUUUGAGCAUUUAACCCUUCACGGCAUAGAUGGAAGCAGUUUGUGGAGCCAUCCAUCCGAGGGGUUCCAGCUGGAGGCAUCAGCAAGAGUGGAUUAUCAUUUGCUGAACGGUACUCUGGAAACCAACUGUCGCUCAUGGCAUGCAUUCCUCUCAAGACUCGUGGGACUAUGUGUGGCAAUGUUGGCCAACUGGGUACCAUCCCUCUAUCGGAUGCAAACUGGCGCAACUGCACUACAACCAACAAUUCUGCUUGUCCGGUGCAGUUCAUGUCAGAAUUUGUGCUUCUUCUGCUGGUACGGCGCAUGUAUAGUCAGUGAACAAACCAAGUUAAGGCACACUUGGACCGGGCACGGCAUGGCAGGAAGCUGUCCAAACCCUCAAGUUUGUACUUAACUGAAUCUGAAGAUAUAUACGCUGUAAUGAACAAGCACGUAUUAUCAUCCUUUUCCGUUUGAACUGUAUCAAAAGAAAGCCCUUGUGAUGUAUACAAGACACGAUGGAUUAGCAAAUGCACGAUCGUUCCUUGCUAUA